CUGUGGGUUAGGACGACGGAGGACUUUUCGACCCCGUGUAGGCUUUGAUGUUUAGAGUACCUGCUCGCGUGCGUCUUCGACAGGUGGUCAGUUAACGCUCGAGCAUUUAUGAGAUGGUCGGUUCGUCUCGGCGGCAAGUAGGGUGCAGAGCGCAGCAGACGAGCAUCGCGGUGCGGUAGCGCCGCGCGCGACCGAGCCGCUGUGCAGCAGUUCAGUGGGAGAGUCUCGAACCGUGCAGGCGUCCAAGCGCUCGGAUGCUGGUGCUCAAAGCGCUCGUCUCGCCGUCGGGUGGUUCGUCCGAGCAGUAGAAGCCGCUACUCAAGGGCGCAGCGGCCUAGGCAGGAGGAGGCGGUGGACCCGGGCGCGCAGAAGCCCGGCUGGUGAGGACGACGCGUCUCCGGGGACGAACGGCCUCCUCUUCCCCCGCGGCACCAGCACACCCGCGCCGGCGACAGGUGGAGGCGGCGUCUCCGCCGCUCCCUCCUCCGCCGGCGCAGGUUCCUGUUGCACCGCUCGUGGCGGCGGCGCUGCCGGCUCCGCUACGUCCGGCGCUUCCGGGUCCGGCACGUCCGGCGGUUCCUCCCCCCGUUCUCGGGUCACUCGUCGAUGACCCCGUAGCACGGACGGUUCGACCACUUGUUCCUGCCGCGGCUCACCUUCACCAGAACGAAGUCCGGCACCCUCCGCAUGUGCAGCCUGUGCUGCUAGCUAGAGUGGUUCGUGGUGUUCGGGUUCCACGACGAGCUGUUCUAGCGGAUGACCUGGCAGUUCAGCGACGCGCACGGGUGGCUGUAGAAGAAGGUCUCCUCCAUGCCCACGGCCCGCUACUACGACCUCUGCCACCGCCGCCACGGCCCCUACCACCCGCCCUACGACGAGGUGGACGCCAGCGACGCCGCCAAGCUCGUCUCGCCGCCCACCUAGGCCCGCGACGACCUCCUCCGUCUCUUGCUCGCCUACGUGGACUACUGGAAGUACCUCCACCGGUUUGGGUUCACCAUGCUCGCGCGCGACCACGACCGCCACGUCCCGCAGAAGAAGUUGCGGAUGAAGGACCCGAUGUAGCACAGGGGGUUCAAACGCGUGGCGCAGCAGCCGAUGGAGCUCCUCCUCCGGUAGGUGAGGAUGUGGCUCAAGGAGGCGCUGGAGCUCCGGCCGUCCUAGCUCUUGCAGGGGCGGGGCGCGUAGCGGUAGCUGAUGACCGCGGAGGGGCGGCUGCGGUCCGAGUUCCUGCACCAGUGGCAGCACGCGCGGCUGCUCCGCGUGGUGGCGCUGCAGUUGGUGAAGCGGCGCCUGUAGGUAAAGGUCCCCGACCUCGAGUUGUUCUGCGGACGGGGCGAUCCUAUAGUGACUGCUUACUUACGGGUCCGGCCGAACAUGAGACGGUAACAGUCAUUUCUUGUUUUCAGCAACGAUUAUAUACACAGCCUAUCCAUUCCAUCACCACGAACUCUUUAUUUUGCCGGCAUACAUUGCUCUCGAGGUUCUAAAGAGCUUCUUGAUAAGCCAAGCGAUCGCUACUUGCCACCACGUGAAGCCGAACAUUACCUUCAACGAAGACAAUCGUUUCCUAUAUACCGCUUGGUUGGAUACCAACCUACCAAUCGCCCUGACACCAUAAGGGUCGGGUAGUCCCAAGUUUAGGACCACGAGCGUAAAUAAGGACCUAAAUAAAGUCCUAAAAGCCGCUACACGUAUGUCACCCUCCUCUGCAAGGGCAGCUGCUGCUCUGCGGAUGCCACUGAAGCAUUUAUAGUUCUACUAUACGACCGAGUCAGAAAGUCUCCACGAGUAUACCCAUCCCGCACGCACAAACGCAAGUAUCCCUACUUACAUACGCGCACAUACUCGGGAACACAGACAUGACUACAAGUUUUUUUUAUAUUACCCGAUUACCGGGUAGUUUGGUAGCACGGGCGUUUUUUUUUUUCGUUUCCUAUAUACACGACUGUAAGACGAAGUC
rnacentral:rRNA from 1 species